CUAGCGUGUGCUGGAGCAGGUGGCCACAUCAUCUUGCUAGCAGUCAGCUCGUCAAGUCAUCGGUAUGAAGGAACCUGUGUGAGGUUGAUGACUAGCAUGGAGAAUCUUGAGAAGUGGGUACAUCAACCUGAAUACCUGAUGCACAGAACAUCUAUGUCCAUUAUUAGAUUUAGGAGUCAUCAAUAUAUUUGACUUCAGGCUGUUACUGUGACCCAAAAGUAUACGAAUCAAGUCAUGCCACAAGAUAGAGGUCAUGAACAACAUGCACUAGGAAAGAAAACUUGGAGGAGAAGAACCUAGCAGCAU
rnacentral:lncRNA from 1 species